ACGAACGCUGGCGGCGUGCCCUAACACAUGCAAGUCGAGCGAGAAAGUCCCUUCGGGGGACGAGUAAAGCGGCGGACGGGUGAGUAAUACAUGGAUAAUCUUCCCUCGAGCCUGGGAUAACCCUGCGAAAGUGGGGCUAAUACCGGAUAAGACCACAUGACACAUGUCACGGGGUAGAAGGUGGCUUGUAUUUAUAUGAGCUAUCACUUGAGGAUGAGUCCAUGGCCUAUCAGCUAGUUGGUGAGGUAAGAGCUUACCAAGGCUAUGACGGGUAGCUGGUCUCGAGAGGACGACUAGCCACACUGGGACUGAGACACGGCCCAGACUCCUACGGGAGGCAGCAGUGGGGAAUAUUGGGCAAUGGGCGAAAGCCUGACCCAGCGACGCCGCGUGGGUGAUGAAGGCCUUCGGGUUGUAAAACCCUUUCGUGCGGAAAGAAUAGUCCUGUAGCGAAUAACUACGGGAUUUGACGGUACCGCAGGAAGAAGCACCGGCUAACUCCGUG
rnacentral:rRNA from 1 species